rnacentral:misc_RNA from 1 species
GUAGGUGAACCUGCGGAGGGAUCAUUAACACGUUUUCACAAACGUAUCCUACCCCUAACCCCGUGAACCAAACCCAACUCCCUUCAUAGUUCUAGGACGAGUGAUAAUCAUCAGGGUGGAUUCCUUCUACACCAAACAGCCCGAGUAUGGACCGCAAUGACCUUCGGGUCGGCGUGGUGCCCAGCGGAGGUUGGGAAGGUCUAUGACUCGCUCUAGGGGCCCUUCGAGGCUCCAAUCCGCUAUGAAGUGU